CUCUCGUUGAGCUUCUUGAUUCUUUUUUACUGUUGCCUAGCUCCUCACUGACUUGACCGUCGGAGGGUCCCCACCGGAGCCACCUCCGGUCAGUGCGGACUUUCUUUUGCAGGCGCUCGUUCCCGGCGAUCAGGCGACGAGGGGAUUGGCCGCAACAGAUUGUUGCCCCCCUCCACUCCUGAGUCGGAUGGUGCGCUGGCCAAUGUCUUUGUUUGGGCGGCAGC
rnacentral:lncRNA from 1 species